AUGUGUGAGGUGCUUUGAUUAUUCAAUUAGGGAUUUUUGCUUUAAUAAUAUAUUGCUAUUCUGUGCCAUGCUGCAGGAUGCUCACUAAAAUACCAUGCAAAAAUAUUAGCUGGUGCAGGGAAUAGCUGUAACUUCUGCUCAGUUUUAUGUCCUGUGGGGAGCACACUAUGAGUCAAUUCUGUGCACUGCAUUACCUGCCAACCAAUUUCUGAAUGUGCUUCUGGGACCUGAGUAGUAUCUAUGAGAAGCUGAGACCUGGCUGCCUUGGAAGUGGCUUUUUUUAUCCCUAUCUCCAUCAGGAUAGUCAUGCAGGAUGUUCUUUUUGGCUUGUUCAGGAGCUGAAAUUUGACAUACCUUGGAACAAUUUUUUUUUUUCUGUCAAUGCACCAUGCUACUUCAGAUUUUCACUUGAGCAGAAUCUUGUCUCUUGCCUUCAGGACUGGUCUCUCAGGAACAGUUGUGUUUGUCCAGGCAUCGUGCAAAACUUGCAAGGAUCUUGUUGAGAUUGGUGAUAAAUUCAGAAAAUACUAUUUUUGUCUUUUGAAGUAUAAAUGUAAAAGGCAGAUUCUAGUUGUCUGGGAGAGUGCAUCAAAAUUUAUGACCAAGUAGGCAAAGGAAGACACAGCUGGGUAAAAGGCUUGGAUUUAGUCGAAUCCACUGCUUUGUGUCAUUUUCCACCUGGAUGAAGGGAGGAGGUUGGAUCUGUUGGGCAACAGCCAUAUUCUUUUCAGCCAGUGCCUGAACCAGUGAUGGCCCAAAAGAUCAUCUGCAUUAUUCUGCACUGGCAGUGACAUGAGGGGAAUGGGACUCAGAGUCUCAUUCACUCAGGAAUUUCUGGAUCACUGUGGAAGAUUAGGUCACUUCUUUCUUGAUAAAUGUACUCUGAAAAUGUGGGAUACUGCUGGUGCAAUGCCAAAAUGUGAAGAUCAGUUCCUGAAUGGGCAAUGAAGAGCUGAAAAGCUGUGAUGGGAGAAUGACAGAAGUCAGGCAGUGUCAGAGAUCUUGUUGGUACCCUCCACUUUCAGAAGAGGAAAACUCUGACAAGUCAUGUGAAUUACUACAUCAAAAAUGCUGGCUGUUGUACUUCUUAUCUUUCCUGUGAAUUUGGGAGACAAGUGCAUUUGCAGGCAAAGUGAAGGAGUGGAAGAACUCAAAAUUACACAAUAGCCAAAAUAUUACAUAUCCACAUAUGUAUGUAAUGGAGAUCAUGUGAGAAAAACACAGAGAUCUGUGAGAAAAACACAGAGGAAAAAACACAGAGAAAAGCGACAUCUCAGAUGUCUAAAGCCCACUUGUUUUGCCACUGGUUGAAUCAUGUGACUGUGUAAGAAAGUGAAGUUUAGCCUGUUUCUAACGCAAUUAAAUGUUAAGACUCUGGGCUGAGGCUGCCUGUUAGAUUAGAUUUAUAUAGUAAUAAUGUGAUGGUAUCAGUGUCUGGUUUUGAGUGCAGAAGUGUGGCUAAAUCCACAUUGCCUAGGAGACUUGUCCCACUGAAGCAGGGAGGAUAUGCAUUAGCAUGAAGCUGUAGGGUGAAUCAGUGCUAGAGACAUGCCUAAAACUCCUGCCUGUUCCUGGUCUGACUUCCCAUACUUUCAUUUUUCUAUAUUUUAAUUUUUCCUUCUACCUGAAAGAAAGUGGUGAAGGGAGGAAGGCAGCUGAAGAUUGCAAAAAAAGGUAAUUGCAUGAAACCCCAUUGUCAGUCUGGGAUUCUACUCUAGGCAAAGGCACAUCUCAAUUUUAUUUCUAACCUUCCCCACAUAUACUUUCUGUUUUACCUGAAAACCACCUGAGAAAAUUUCUUGCUCUCAAUCUAAAUAAUGUGUGCAUCCACCAAGAGAACAGUAGCUGGAGAAAGACAUUCCAGUGCUGCCCACAUUAUUAAGAAAAAUGUCACCACAAACCACCUAACACAUUCCUUGAAUUACAAAAGCUAAAUGUACACGCCAUCUCUUAUGAAUGAACCAUUUCCUGUGUAAAUGCUAGGAAAUCCAAGAGAGAUUAGUCUGAGUAAUGGAGUUAAAGUCAAGCUAAUUUGUUUGUGAGGUUAUUGGCAAGUCAAAAAUCUCCUUCACUGUUUUGUUAGACAGAGGGCUGGAGAAAGUGUGUGUGUUAGGCUCAAAGGCAAUCAAUGUAAAUUUGUUUUUACCAAUGAAGCUGGUUCUGCUGAGUGAAAUGAGUUAUAUUCCCAGCUGUGUGGCUGAAUCUGAGCCCAGUGCAGCCAAAGGUCUGCAACAAAAUGAUUUGGCUCUGUGGAAGUAUAAGAUGAGAAAGAGUAAAGAGGGCUGCAAACAGUUCUGGAGCUGAAUUAGGAUACACUAAAUAUAGAGGGAAAAGCAGGAUUCACUUAUGCUUCUUUUCUGUGUCUGACAUGUGCCUGGCAACCUAGGAAAUUAUGAUCAGACCUGUGAGAAAACAAUCCUCCUUUUGGAGUUUUUUAAUUUAAAAAAAUGUUAAUGUCUCUAGAGCUGCUUUUCUUCAGCUACCCAUUCUGUCCUUUCUUACAUUUGCCUUCCCUUCAGACGCUAUUGCCCUUGCCUGUUUUCUGCCACUCUUUAAAACAUUUAUUUCUCCAUGCUCUUUCCACCCACUGCAUUCUUCCCAUGGGCAGUCAGUCCCCCCUGUCCCCAUCUCUCCUCUCUGCUUUCCUAGCUGUCUUCUCCUGCCCCUUUCCCUCAUGGCAGCUGAGAUUGGAGAGCAAAAUCAUUGAAUCAUCCAUCCCACAGAACCUCCUUGUAGCUUUUCUGUUGACUUUGGUAAUUGUGAGUGGCAAUAAUUCAAUGAGAUGUGAGACAUAGGAUGAGAGAACCUGUGGUUUUUCAUCCUUCUUGCCUGCUAAAAUGUCCCUUAUAUAACUUCAGCUUUACACAUAGCUAAUAGGGUUUUCCACCUUAAAUUUUAAAUUCACUUGGAAAAGAAGUUUAUUUGUUAAAUGAAAUUUCUGAAGCAAUAUGCAACCUUUUAUUUCGAGUGAAAACAUAUUAUUAGUUAUGGCUUUCACUUUUAAAAAGCUGAAAAAUAAGUGUAUGUAAUUGGAGAGUUGGACAACUGGGAGAGGACUCAUCUGAGCAGUAGAAGGUGGCUCUGGUAGAUCUUCAUUUGAGAUCUUUGUAGACUCAUACCACAGGCAGUGGAGAGAAACAGUAAUUUUAAUCAAUAAUUAUUGAUCUUAAAAUAGGUCCAAGGAGCCACACCUUAAAUGUACCUGUUUCUUUCCAUUAACUAUAACGCAAACCUGGAGUGACUAGCUCUGAGGUUGACGCCUACAGUGUGGAUGUCUAAAGUUAGGCAAAAUUAAUCCCACUCUGUCAUCUUAAACACUCAUCAUAACAUGUAAUUUAUUUUCCUUUCUUUAAAAAUAAAAUUCCAAAGCAGAACAACAUUUUGAGAUGAAAUGAAAAAAUAUUUCAGCUUGAAAUUUUCAACAAAAAGAUUGUGUUGAAGUUUUAUAAUUGUCUCAAAUGUUCGUGUUAAAUUCUUUAAAGUUCAGUCUUGACAAGAGUACAUUUUAUGAAGAAAGCUUUUUAAAUGAAGAAUGUCACCUGAUUCUCCCUGUCACAAAAUAGAGUGUUCCAUCCUACUUGUUCCUGGGCAUUUGCAUUAACACAGCUUCAUUGGGUCCAAUUUGUGUCAGAAGGGGCAAUUUCAUGUCCAAGUCACAAGGACCUGGGCUAAGAACUGCCACUCAAUUUCACGUGUAUUUCGUUCUGUUGUCAGGUGGCAAUAACUUCUGGUCACUAUUGAACUGGACUUAGUUUGCACCAGUGGCCUAGAAGACAAAAUAAAAUUUAUUACCAGUUCUUUAAUCUAUCCAGUUCAGCAAAAUAGCCUUGUAUCAAAAUAUAUCAUUUACUUCCAUAUACCUACCUGGCAGGAGGGUAACUAUAACAAACCACCUUCAAGAGCAGUAGGAUGUAGUAAUAUGGAGCAAUUUAAGCAUAAUGGAGCUUAGAGCUUUCCAAUACUGGGAGAUGGCAGGUUUUGGAAGGUAAGAUAUAAAGUCAGGAACAAUUCUGUCUUAUCCUUAGCCAGCAAUCACUGUCUGUGAACAUCCUACCUGUUCAUGUUUGCUGGCUCAAGGGGGAUUUUCAGAGCACUUUUAACCUGCAUUAAAAUUGUUUUAGACUUUGAAGAGGCCUAAGGUAGUUUUCUUCUGCCUGCAGUGACUUUCUUUUCCAUGUCAUAAAAUUAUAUGACUGAUAGAAGGGUAAUUUCUGAAUUUCAGCCUACAUCCUUCACCUUGGCCUGUAGUAAACCUGAAAAGUAUAUCCUGGUGUGGGGAGCCACUGUAACUAUUCACUAACCUAUGUGCUCCUUUUACAUUUGCCCAUUAACACCUUCACCAUUUGUCUUUCCCAGGUCAGACUGAAUGAGCUGAAAGAAAUCAAUGUCUCUUUGUAAGUGCUGAAUAUUUUUUCCCCAGUAAAGUACUUCUCUAAAAAGUGGUUGUGUUGAACAACAGGGAAGUUGAGAUUUGUCGCCACUAAGGUCAAUAACAAAUUCCCCAUUGCAUCAGUCAUUCACUUUCUGUCACUUCACAUAGUACCAGCCCAGGUGGUUUUUCAUUCAUCUCUUUCAUGUGAUUUUUCUCAACUAUUUGUCUCUGACAAAAUUUUGGCAUGCAGUCCUUUAUGACCAAAUGAUAAUUCCAAACCAGGAAAUUCUAUUUUGUUAGAGGGGUUCAAUCUCUCUGGUGAGCAACUGAAAUAAGCAUCUUAAACUUUCUUCCUGCCCAGAGACAACAAAAAUGCAUUCAGCUCCUGUGAGCUGAAUUUAGAACACCUAAAUGCAUGAAACGUAACAAAAAGUGCAGCACAGUCAUGAGGCUGUUUAGUCCUGGGGAAGACAAUUCAAGGGUAAGUUCUGUUGGUACCUAUGGUACAAGGUACUUAUGGCUGCCUCUGUUGGUACAAGGUACUUUUGGCUGUCUGGCAACUAUAUUUUAAUUUCUGAGACUUCUGCGUCACUUAUACUUUCUAUACAUUUCUGUUCCUCCAGAAGAGUUGACACCAACAAAUGAGGAUUUUCUUUGAUGGCUAUUAUUUUGUCUGCAUGGUUGAAAGAAAAUCUGGAUAUUUCUUCAUGCCUUUUUGGAUGCCCUAUUGUGGUUGACUCAGGUUUUUCAAUGCCCUAAGUUCAGAAAUGUUUCCAAAACUGAAAACACAGGCAUGAGGAGUCAAAUCUUGUAUUCAUGUUCUCUUAUUUUGGACAUUUGAGAUGUAGUUGAAGAUGGCCAGACUUGUACAGUGUGAAAGGCUUCAGAGACACUGAAUUUUUCGGUGAGGAGGCAGCUGAGGAGGCAGCUCAUUAAUCCACUCAUUGACACUCAGAAUAUCAGCAAUGUACUUAACAAUAUAUAGAAGUGUGAACAGCCUUUCACACCCUUUGAAAAACAGGUUCACUAGCCCAUGCCAUUGUCUCAUAACUGCAAAAGGGCUCUCAAAGCAUGAAAAUGUAUUUUGAGGCCAUCUCACAGAAGCACAGUACCCAGAUUAGAGCAGCUAUCUGUUAAUCUCUGAGAAAUAUCUUGUUCAAAGGGCCUAAGUGACUGGGGAUGGCCUUAGGAGCUGAUUUCAGGAAGCUCUGCAUAAUAUCAGAGUUUUUUUUUAACAAUCCCUAGUCCACCAUAUACAAAAAUCUCAGGAACCCACCCCUCCAAAAGUAGCAGGAGUUUUUAGCAAAUAUGGCCUUUGCAUGAAAACAUUACAUUUGAAGGUGGCAGGCUUUUUAAAAGCUCGCUCCCUUGUUCAUUUCCUGUUGUCAAAUUUGUUUUUCACCCCUUGAGCUCUGCUAGGUGAGUUCAUCUUCAGAGAUGAAGAUAAUAUGGCAGAAAUACCACUGAUCUUGCUCACAGUCACCUUGGAUUUUUCCCUUUUUUUCCUGUGAAAGGUUAGUUGUUCUACUUAGUUCCUCUGUUUAUUUAUUCCCUUAGUUUAUUUAUUUACUUCUGGCCCUGAGCUGUUAUUGAAAUUAGACUCAUUGCAACAACAUAAUGUGUAGACUGUUUGCUGACUGUGUCAGAUCAAGCUUUAAAAUAUUUUAUGUGUGCUGAAAGGGCACACACACUGCCAGUAAAUGUAUAGACCAUUCUUUGGCCCAGCUCCUGCUAUGUAUCACAAAUCUCAGAAAUGUGCUCAUUACUUUGUCUUAGCUGUAAAAAUAUUUCUACUGCACUGCAGUUAAGGUAUACUGUUAUUUGCAGUUGUUUUUUAGAAUUUUUACAUGUUCUUUCCCAUCCCUUUACUCCUACAUUUGUGGAAAUACAAUAAUGCCAUUUGAUCCCCACAAUGCUCUGUAGCUGAAUUUUCAGCCAAGGUUCACAGUCUGUUUAACACCAUACAAUCUGUGAAAAUGAAGAUUUAUUCUUGCCUAACCAUGGUUUAUGAUUUUUGCCAAUGUCUGGGUUAAUACAUCAUUCAUGAACUUAUGUACACUUGUUUCUAUUGUGCCUGUAAUUUGCAGCUUUUCAUUAUUUAGUGUGAAUUUGUAGCCCAUAAAUAGAUUGGUGGUACGUUUCUUAUAAAGAUUUUUUGAAUCACAUAUUACAUGAUUGAUUAUAUAACAUAUUGCUGUACUAUUGUUUAUACUUCAUUAUUGGCUGUUCCUUUGGAUUUAAAUAAAAAUUGCCAGCUCCAAGCUGAUUAGUCUCCCAAUAAGAAAUACUAACUCAAGUAUUUUUCAUUUUGUUUCAUGUGUUCAUUACAAGAAUGUAAAGAGUGUGUGGGAUUAAAAUACUGCUACUUUGUAUGGUCAUGAUCAAUGCAAGCAAUGUGUUAUAAUGGGAAAAAUAAAAGAAAACAAAACAACCCUCAACAACCCUUAGGCAGCAGUCUAUGGGAAUGUUUUAAAAACCCUUUCCACACCUGAGAUUUUUCCAUGGAUAGGUGCUUACAGUAUGGGAGAAAUGCAUUAUUGGAAGUAGAUACAUAAAGAUCCUUUGUCUGCAUGUGUCUGGUGAAAUUCCCUUAUAUGUAGAAGAUAAGCCCAGAGCUAUUCCUCAUGCACUGAACUUUAAGUGAUGGAAAAGUCUGUACAUACAACUUACAUAUGAAUAUCAAUUUUGUCUAUAAAUAGAGGCAUUGAUGCAAACCUUUACUUGAAAUUCUUUCAGCAUGGUAGAUCUUGUCUUGAGGAUUUCUAGCAUUGUGGUUUGGGUAUGGCAUCUUGUGUGAACAAUUAUUCUAGCUUAUUGCUCUGUCCGCUAUAUGGCUGUUUUUAAUUGUAUCUUUAAAAGGAUUGAUUCCUGUAAUAAAACUGAGUUGGAAUACUGA